GGACUCGAUGGGAUUCAUGAUUUUUUAAGUUCUUGUUUAACAGAAUGAGCUACAGACAAAUGACUGAAAAAUAUUCCUUAAUUUGUAUAAACUGUGCAAAACAACAGACGUGUCCUCAUAUCAAAAGUGCAACUGAUAUUGAAAUUUAUCUUAAACAAACAUUAAAUAAAUGUAUGGUAGAUUAC